GAUGAACGCUGGCGGCGUGCUUAACACAUGCAAGUCGAACGGAAAGGCCCAAGCUUGCUUGGGUACUCGAGUGGCGAACGGGUGAGUAACACGUGGGUGAUCUGCCCUGCACUUCGGGAUAAGCCUGGGAAACUGGGUCUAAUACCGGAUAGGACCACAUUUUGGAUGGUGUGGUGGAAAGUUUUUCGGUGUGGGAUGAGCUCGCGGCCUAUCAGCUUGUUGGUGGGGUAAUGGCCUACCAAGGCGUCGACGGGUAGCCGGCCUGAGAGGGUGUACGGCCACAUUGGGGCUGGAACAGGGCCCCGAGCCCGCGGGGGGGGGGGAGGGGGGAAAUUGGAAAAGGGGGGGAGAGCCGGAGGCGGCCAGGCGGGGGGGGGGUGGAGGGCCUGGGGGUUGAAACCUCCUGGCGCGGGGGGAGAAGCUUUGUGUGAGGGGACCGGGAAAAGAAGCCCCGGCUAAUUACGGG
rnacentral:rRNA from 1 species